AUGGUCGGCGGCGGCAAGGUGCAGGUGGCUAGUCUCCGCGACGGCGCCACUAGCCCUGCUCGACGCGUCCCGUGCGAUGGCUGGCCUUGUCUGGCAGCCAUCCAGCAGCUGCUGCACUGUGCUGGCCGGUGCUUCCCUACAUCGACAGUGACAAUACGUGGUUUCCCUCUCGGUGCUGGUGGUCCUCUCUGGCGAUCUGCUUCCCCAUCUCCUGUUUGCUCUGCUUCGGCGUUUUGGGGUUCUGGUCUUGGGCCGGGCGAAAUCCCUGCGCGGCGAUGGCCUGCGCUGACAACGGCGACACCUGAGGGUGCCGUUACCUCCAUGGAGGCGCUGUCAUGGCCCAGACUGGACCCUCUCCUCGGGCACCGGGGGAAACCCUUGGUCCAGUUCCCUGGACAAGGCAGCGACGGCGUCUCAGCGCCGUUCCUUUCUUGA
rnacentral:rRNA from 1 species